GGUCUGUAAUUGGUUGUUCGUUCAACCAGAUGAAAGACAUGAACGACGGACAAGUUCCGGGAUUCCGAUGUCGGCCUAGCAGGCAAGCUAGCGAGUUUGCUAGCGGCUAGCUCAAAGAGGACUAAAACAACCCAUCCACGAGACAACUCAUACGUUCGACAUUAGUUUACCUGCAGACCCAGGGGAUGAAGCUUAACCUGGAGCCAAAGAUAACAACAGGCUAGAAUGGACCUGUCUGCAUGAGAUCCAAGCUCCUGGACCUGCAUUUCCUGGAGAACAACAUGGGAAUUGAGGAUUUUUUGCAGAGAAUGUGGAGGAGGGAGAGGUCACGACUACACCCAUCUCCAGCCAAGUGCAGCGAUGCCUCUGUGGACUACGUUGAGCUUCUUCAUGGAACGAGUUGAUUCCGUCACCAAAAGAGACUCAAGUCCGCCAUCAAUAAAGACAAAGGGGAUCCGAUUAUUUUUAACCAGUUUUGUUUUUAAGCAACUAUAAAAAAAAAAUCAACUUCUACUGGAUUGGUUUGACAUAAAGCUUCUUUCCUCCUGGUUUAAAGGUCAUUUUAUUGUUGGUUUCCCACGCUGGCGUAGUUUUGGUAGCUGGGAGUGUCCCUCCUCACCGUCCUUGGUUUCUUCCACCCACCCAGUGCCUAAUUAAGCCCCUUUCGGGACAAUCGCAGAAGUCAUCAGCAGCUGCUGUGCUCAGUCCUCUGCCUGUCCCCCUCCAUGUGCUUCUGCUCUCUGCCUGAUGGACUACCUCUUUAUUUCCUUUUCUUUUUAUAUCCAUUUUUCACUUUUUCAGAUAAUCAAGCACAGUUGUGAGCAUUUAUGCACACGCUGAAUUUCAGGAGUGGAGAGAAACUUAAGGAUUGCUUCAGUUUGGAUGCACAAGUGUUCACCGUUUUUCGUGCAUGUACAGCAGUGUUUACGUUCUUGCACCAAACCCGGCUACAUUUAAGCCAUACAAAAAUAUUUAUGAAUUACAAAUAUUUUUGUAUUACAUUGCUUUUGUAAAGAAAUGAAUAUUAUGCACACAAAUUAUUUACAAGAAUCUGUGCAAAUGCAAAUGGAACAGUGUUUAUUGCUUUGAAUAUAUAUAGUGUUUAAAUCACUGCAAGGAAAUGUUUAGACUCAGACAAUCUUCCAUGUUUCCUUUCGGUUGCUGCUUUGCAUAGUGUUGGUUUUCAUUUCCAGUCCCUAGUCAUGGCCCCUCCUCCCAAACAAACACCAGCAUUACCAUUCUGACCUGUGGAGGACCCUUUUACAGUCGGUGGACGCUCGAUAUCUACCUCCCUCUCGUCUUCCCCCUCUUUGUGUCUGAUGCCUGGAUUCAGCGGUGGGGUGAUUGGGGGAGGAGUGGGGGGUCCUGCUUCCGCUCCUCCCCGCCCAUUCCGACCCAGCCGAUACGUGCCGGUUUCUGCAGCCACGACUUUCCUCGUUGGGGCCACGACGCUGUUCUUCUGCUUCACGUGUCCAUGGUUGUCAGAGUCCAUCUCCUCAGUCGUCCCCUUCUACAUUGCUGUGAUCUUCCUCUUUACCCUGGCUAACUUCUGCAUGGCCACUUUCAUGGACCCAGGAAUUUUCCCCCGAGCGGAGGAGGACGAGGACAAAGAGGAUGAUUUCCGCGCUCCGCUCUAUAAGACAGUUGAGAUCAGAGGCAUCCAGGUGCGGAUGAAGUGGUGCUCAACCUGCCGCUUCUACCGCCCGCCUCGCUGCUCACACUGCUCAGUCUGCGACAAUUGUGUGGAGGAUUUUGACCACCAUUGUCCCUGGGUGAAUAACUGCAUUGGCCGAAGGAAUUAUCGGUACUUCUUCCUCUUUCUGCUGUCUCUAACCACCCACAUCAUGAACAUAUUUGGCUUUGGCCUGGUGUACGUGCUGCACCACCGCCAUCAGCUGGACACGCCACAUGCUGCCGUUACUAUGGCUGUGAUGUGUGUGGCUGGUCUGUUUUUUGUCCCAGUUGCUGGCCUGACUGGGUUCCACAUAGUUCUGGUGGCUCGUGGCAGGACCACUAAUGAGCAGGUGACUGGAAAGUUCCGGGGAGGCGUUAACCCUUUCACUAAGGGCUGCUUGAGGAAUAUUUCACAUGUGCUCUGCAGCCCCCAGGCCCCCAGGUACUUGGGCCGAUGGCGGGGCCAUGAGGCUCUGGAGGUACAGCCGCCGUUUCUCAGGCCGUCUCUCACCGAGGCCCAGCUAGAAGCCAAAGUUCUGGACAACGGCAUCCACAAUGACCGACACAGCACCAGGUCAAAGAUCAGUCUGGAUCAGAUGGAGAGCCAGUCGGCUGACAUAGAACCUCCUCCUCCAAAGCCAGAUUUCCGGUACCCCGGCCUUCCUCGUGCUGACACCGAAGAGAGCAGCUUGUUGACCAACGCUCCACCCACACCGUCAAUGUACAAGUACCGCCCAGCCUACAGCAGCCCUGGGAGGAACCACGCCACCCCUCCACAUCCAAUUAAGAUGAUUCGAGGAGAGAGUCUGGACUCUCCGUCUCCCUCCAUCCUCCAGUCCAGCCGCCAGCCUAGCUACCGCUCGGAGCCGAGCAGCCUGGACGGGGCCACAGUGGUGGGAGGAGGUGUAGGGGUGCACAGAGGGGAGAGGGGUGAGGGCCCUGGAGGCCCUGGGGGGACUGCUGGUGUGGUGUCGGGUGUGUCGGGCUACUCCCUGACUAGGCGCUCCUACACCUCUUACCCAUCCUCGCUGGUUCUGUCCAUUGGCGGCUCUCGCUCGUCCAGUCAGCGUUCAGCCCAGACUGUACAUAACCCGCUGGCCACGCUCCAAUCAGAGGGCACCACGGACACCAGCUACAAAAGCCUUGCCAAUCAGACGCCUCGAAACGGCAGCCUGUCAUACGACAGCCUUCUGACGCCGUCCGAGAGCCCAGAGUUUGAGUCGGCCGCCCACGAGCUGUCACCGCAGAAGCCCCGUGUCCUGUUCCACUCCUCAGCAGUGACUGGCCAGCACGUGGUGGUGUCACCCAGCAGCCCGCUGCAGGGCUACACGUCGCCCUUCCUCUCAGCUCAGAUCGCUCAGCAGAGGGAGGGGCAGCUGCUCCAGGGCUCCACCACUUUCUCCUCCCCUCACAGGGCCUACCUGCGUGCUGUCAGUCCACCCACUCCCUCCUCCCCGGAGGCCCAGCACCUGCUUCAGCACAAGCAGGACGUCAUUUCCCGAAAUACUCGUAACCUUUCCUCCUUGUCCUCUUCCCCUGGGGCUCACCCACUGGAGCCCCCCGUCUCCCCUCCGCCGCGUGGCCUCUCCCUCAGCAAGUCCCCGUCUUACACCGGGGAGGCAGGGCCUCAGCACAAGCCUCGGCCUGCAGGAGGAGGCGCUGUGCUGGGAGGGGGAGGAGGGCACCAGGCUCCACAGUGAGUAGUGAUCCAUCGCCAGAUUCUUCAGCUGCCGCUCUCCUCCUUUCUGCUGUGUUUCUUUCCUGGUUUGUGUGAGCUCUCCUCUUCCUCGUUGAUCUGUAUCCACCUCUCGCCCAGUCUUGGCCAAUCACAGCACACCUAAACCAGGGGGCGGGGUGAAAAAGGUCACCGGUGUUGGAGGGACCACGUACGAGAUUUCCGUUUAAGUGACAGAAUCUUAUCACGAGGAGGGAAACCGCUGUUGGACUUGUUGCACUUGCCUCUUUUCUAAGCUGGAUAUUAUUCAUGACUAAAGCAGCUGAGACGUUCUGUUGGACCCGAGGAGCCGGUCCGUCUGGUACUCGCUUAUCUCUGUGAUGCUCCAGCUGAUCUCCUCCUGCCAGCCUGUCUGAUAUGAACCAGGAGACCUGUUCUCCAUUGAACCAAUUUGUGAGCCAUAAACUGAUGCGUCUGCGUCAUCACAGCUGGGUACAGAUGCGUAGACGAAACACACGUAAAUAUUUGCUAUUUGGCUUCGGUACAUAAAGACUCAAAAUGGACACGGGUGGUCUUUAUCCAGAUUUCAGACCAACAGAAACACCUGAGCGGACCAUACGGAGGGAGGGGUCCAACCUUUAAACUCAUUUAUGUUUUAUAAUUUUUUAAAAUAUCGUUUUAUAUAACUAUAGAAUCAGAUGAUUGAGUCAGAUAGUCAAGAUGACUGUUGAUGAGAGUGGCAGAUGGUCUGUUUGUAUUUACUCGUGUGUUUUUUUUUUAUGAAUGGCUGUAUCAGUCACUCACAAGCUCCUGCUGCAUCAUCCAGACAGAAGGGGUGAUGCCCGCUGGACUGCAGACGUGGCCGAUAAUCAAAAUCAUUUUCUAAAGCCACAAAUAAGUUAAGAUUCUCCCUCUUGCAGCACAAGCAUCUUUGUGAAUGUACGCUUGUCGAGUUUUAUUCUAGAGACGUUAUGCAAAUCUCUUUCUAGCUUUAAGGUCAUUGUUUGUCUUUCUUUCUCUUUUUUUUUUUUUUUUUUUUACUCUUUUCUGUAAUUUAUCAGUAAAAAUUUAGCAACCACACACUUUAAACAGGUGUUUAGCCAAAUAGGAGGCUGUGAGGGAAGGGGCUUAUUUAUUUCACAAGACAAAAUGAAUAUAUAUAUAUAUAUAAACAAAUCCUAUUGUUCUGGAUGUAAAUGAAAAUCAAGGAAAAUAAGCCUGGAUAUAUAUUUUGUAAGAAGUGUUUAAAAGAGUGACGCCACUGAAUAAGACUGUAAACAGCUUUGCUGGUUGUGCUGGUUGGAAUUUGCCUUGAGAACAUUCAUACUGAAGCCAGUUUUGUUAUGUUUAAGAUAAAAGUGAAGCAGAUUAAACCUUUAGGACUGAUUGGCCCAUGUUUAGCUUGUUUUUACCCACUGCAAUGUUGAGAAAGGACCUAUUUGGUGUGUAUUUAUUUUACUUUAGUAGAAGGCCACAGUCGUGUUUGCAGGAGAAAAUCCAAGCUGUGUGAAUGUGGCGUAUAUUUUGGGGCAGGCAGAUGCUUUAAACUGUACUUGUUUAAAAAAAAAUUGUUUUGCGAGUUUUUUGGUGUGCAUGUGAGUUUUUGUUUUGUUCUGCUGACUGCUUCACUGGCGUGCAUGCUUGUGAUCACCAUCAGUACACACCCAGUUCAUGUGCAGGUGGCAAAAAAAAAGGCACACAAGCAUCUGUCACACACUCUGAACAUGUUUUAUUCCUGCUCUGGCCAAAGAUGGCGGCCUCUGAACAGUCAGAAACCUAUGUGAGAAUAAAUAUCUGUGGUUGGAUGGAUGGAACAAAUCUCACCUGUAACAAUUACAUCAAAUGCAUUUCCAAAAUGGCCUUACAAAGAAUUUUUAAGAUGUCUUCUCAGAAUAAAAGGUCAAACUGUUGAAAACGUGGGUA